UGGAAUUUUGACAUACUGCUCAAAAGAAUACUGAAGAGGGUACUGCUAUUAUUGCAUUAGAAAUCUUUAUGUGGGAAAAAACAGGAUGGAUGCUACUGAAAUUAGCACUAGAGUUUGUGCAGCAUGAUGCUCACCUGUUCAUAUCCCAAGGAAAUGCUACAAGCAAAGCCCUGCUCAUUUUUUACCCUCACCAUUUCUUCCUGCAUCAACCAAACAAUUGAAAACAGCAUCUAUUGAAUGUUACAACCUUCCCCCCCAUGCCCCCCAACACUUGAAUGUUCUUAACAUCUACAAUUAUAUUUGAAUUCCUGCCUUUA